CCUGGGUUCAGUGCUGAGACAGGUGGACUGACGCUCAUUGCCCUUUAGCUCCCUGCCUGGAGGACACACCCAGAGGAAACCCUUGCACCCACCUCAAGUGGGACUUGGGUGGAACCACCAGCAGACACAGGAGGAGCUGUGGAAAGGAGGGGACACUGAGUCACACACAUACAUGUCUGCAAUUUUGUUCUAACACUCUACAUGUUAUCCACUGAUUCUCACAAGAACCCAAUCCCUGCGUUUGGCAGAUGAGAUCGUCACCAAGUGCCAGUGUCCAGGCGCAGCCCUGGUGUGUGAUGUGUCCGCUGUGUGGGCUGGUGGCAGUCUAACCCAGGGGUGCCGGAGGGUGUACAAGGUGAGACUGGUGAGUGACCAGGCACCUUCCUGGGGAUGGGUGAGCACAUACCUGCAGGGCACACAGUUUCAAGGGUCCCCAUCUGGGGGCAGCUGAGCUGGGGUCUGACUCAAGGCCCUUCCGGAGGCUUGUGUGUGUGUCCUUGAGACCACUGUCCCCACUACCACAUGGAGCAACCUUCCUGGUCACCUAGGGACCCAGCACAAGCCAUCCCAGGGUGCUGUAUACUAAGCAGUCAUAAACGUCCCCCAGUGGGCACUCCUGGGCUCCCCGUACUUCUACAAGUCCCCACCUAAAUGCCCUGCAAGAAUUUUAAGCUUAUCAUGUCAGAAACGUGAAAUGUGACUCUCCCUGAAAAUGUAUUUUUCCUCCUGAAUCACUAAUUUGGUCCUCCAAACCACUUCCCCGUAACUUCCCCCUGGAAGUUGUCCCCACCCUCAUCCUUACCCCCGCUUCAUGGAGCUGUGAAUUCCUAUUCCAGGCGCUCAUCACGGCUGGAGAAACUCUGUUCUCUGUAGCCUUGCUUUCCAUAACCAUUGACAGUCCCGUCCCUCGCCGCCGCCCCCGGCUCACCACCGAGACUCCCUCCUGGGGACCCUGCCUCCUGGGUCUGCUGACCAUCCUCCCUGCAGGGGACAGAGAAUAUGUCACAGCUGUGGCUGAACCCCUUCCCAGUCCAGACAUCGGACUGAAGUGGGCAAAGGCCAUGUUUCACAAAACACCUUCAAUGUCCGGCCACCCCAGGAGGUGUGGGCCUCUCACACACAUUGUUAGCUUCUCUUCUCAGUUAGGCAGCUCUGUCCACACCAGCCGUGGGGUUAAUUGUAGGAGUCCGUCUGGCUGGGGGUGCACACAGUGCUUUGAUCAAACGCUAAUCUAGGUGUGGUGCUGCAGGGAUUUUGUAGAUGAGAUUAGCACUGGUUGACAGGUAGGAUCUGUUAACGUGAAGUCAAGAUUACCUGCCACAAUGUGGGUGGGCUUCACCCAAUCGGUUUAAGGUCUUAAGAGUAAAAGCUGGGGGUUCCCAGAGAAGAAAUUCUGCCUCAAAACUGCAGCCUCGACCCCUGCCUGAGUUUCUAGUCUGCUCCCCUGCUUUACAGAUUGAGGAAUCCCCAGUCCCCACAGUCACAGGAGCGGGUUCCUUAAAACCAAUCUGUCCAUCCGUCUUCCUUCCUUCCUUCCUUCCUUCCUUCCUUCCUUCCUUCCUUCCUUCCAUCUUGCGAUUGUGCUGUUUCUCCAGAGACCCCUGGCUGACACAGCCCUUUGCAGAGCGCUGGCUGAGGAGGUGUGGGGAGAGGCCAGUACCAGCACCCAUGCCUGAAAGAACUCACCCUACUGAAGCUCCUUCUUCUGCUGGGCUGAGGGCACUUCCCGCGUCUUGCGUUCAUUAUUUCCUGCUCCUGCCCUCUAGAGGCCCAGGGAAGCCUCACACCCCAGGCUCCUGACUUGCCCCAGAACAUUCAAGGACUUCAAAGCUACAGAAGGUCGGCGUGGCCCAGGACCCAGGUGAGAUAUCCCCAUUUCCCUUUGAUGGCGAUUUUGCAAAUCUUAUUAUCUGGCCCAAAUCCUGCUAUCUCUGUGCUAAUUGAUAACCUUUAGUUGCUUUGGUAUUCUUACAAAGAAGCCAAGAUAAGGGGUGAAGAAAUUCUGUGCUGACCUCAACCCUCUGUUUUCUGUGAAUGCGAUCUUUCUAGAGUCUCAGGGUGACCCUGGAGACUGAAGACAAUGCGAGGUGUGUGUGCAACGACCUGCAGAUGAAGAAGUCACCAGCGCUUGGAGAAUCGAAGCUCCUUGCCAGAGGACUUGUAGCUAAUCGGGGGAGGAUGGGGCAGGGGGAGGGAGGUGGCUCUGCACUCACAUGGUGCCAAGCCCUGGCGGGAGCUGCCACACAAUGCUGGGAACCCUCUGAGACCUCCGCUGGGCCGCUGCACCCCACCCCAGUCCCCCCUUAUCCUCUGCAGAGUUGCCUGGGGCCACCUGGAGCCUGGCACCUGGAUGUCCUUAUAGCCACAGCCCAAGGCCCCGGCUGAGCCAGGGCUGGCCCUUGCCCUCAGGCUGCAGAGCUGAGGGGGGCAGUUCCUCCCCUGCUCAGUCCGCUGCCCCCACUCCUGAGAGCCCCCGUUGUCCAUCUGGCUCUGGUGAGAAGCCCCAAGCCCAGGGUGCUUAUCACCCUUCAUGCCCACAGGGUCCCCCCGAAGUUGGCAGUUUGUAUUUCCUGCUGCCCCUUCACGGGGUAAUGAUGUCAUCUGUGUACCUGCCUGUCUCCCUGCCAGACGGGGCAGUCCUCAAGGAUGUGUGCAGAAAAGGGCGCGGGUUUGGAACCAGAACCAGGCAGCCUCACACUCUGGGCCACUCUCUUCUCCUCCCUGGGUCUCAGUUUCCCCAUCUGUGACAGGAGGCCAGGUGGCAGCGAGUCUGAAAGAUGUAGGAGCUGCCUGCACACGGUCCUCUACAAGAACGCAGCAGGCUGAGCCCCCUUCUUGCCGGGAGGCUUCCUGGGGUCUGGGUGGGCCCUGAGUCUGGAAGGCUGGAAGGCCGGCCGUGGGGCCAUUCCCAGACGAUGAGUCAGCCCCUUGCAGAACCUGGCUGUGCCUGAGGCUCAGGCCUCCCUCCACAACCUUCACUCCCCUCCUGCGAAUUCCUCCCCCUGUGCCCGCCCAGCCCCCACCGGCUCCGCCCACGGCAGCCACACCGAAGACCUGCACCUGGGCAGCAGGAGUCUGGGCUCUCAGUCCUGGAGGCCAGGAGUCCUCCAGCAAGGUAUCAGCUGCGUGGGAGCCUCCUGGAGGCUCCAGGACAGAACCUGCCCCAGGCCUCUCUCCAGCGCCCCUGGUGCUCCUGGCCAUGUAGACGCAUCCUUCCCACCUCUGCUGUGAUCCUCCAUUGGUGCUCCCUGUGUCUGUCUGCCCUCACGGCAUCCUUUCCUCUUCCUCUUGGACCACACUGGCUUAGAGCCCUCCCCGCCAUCACUUCCUAACGUGGCUAAUUGUAUCCACAGCAACCUUCUUCCACACAACGUCACAUUCUGAGCUCCCAGCAAGGGCGAGGUUUCUGGGGUCAGAGGCAAUGGGACAGAGAUGGAGUCAAGUUCUGUGGUCACAUCGAAGGGCCUGUCUCCCUCGUAAGUGGUCGUGAACUCCAGCAGGGAAGGUACUUGGCAUGGAGGCUGGGUCACAGCAGUUCCCAGGCAGGAGUAGCUUACAAAAUAAAGGUGAGUGGCGUGGCUGAGGGGCUUGAAGGCAAGGCUACGGUGCUGGGCUCCACCAGGGAGGCCCGGGUGCACAUGAACCUGAUACUCUAGAACGUAACGCCUCUGUCUCUCCGUCUCCCUGUCCCUCCCCAGAGCUGCCCCAGGCAUCCCAUACCUUGCCAGUGUGGUCAAGAAAAGAGAAAUCUUAAAAAGCCUUUUUCUUCGGAGGGUCGUGUUCCAGUUGCUUCUCCCCCUGAGGAAUGUUUGCGUAAAUUCCGUACAGCUCUGGUGUCUUUGUGUAAGUCGAGCUACACACUUGAAUUCAGUGGUUUUCUCAGAUCACAGGGGUUCUCCCUGUGCCCGCAGGAUGGGCUCUGGCAGCAGAGGGCAAGUCCAGGAGGAGGGUCCCAACUGAGUAAGGCUGUUCCCGACCACGACCAUGGGCCCUGGGCACAAACAGCGGGCGCCCGCCCAGCCCAUCGACACACACCGUCUGGUGCGUCUGCCCAGGCCCCUGUGUCGGUCGGGUUCCAGGAGGACACGCACGCACACGUGCACGGUUGAGCCAGGAGAGGUGAACUGAGCCAAGCUUUCUGAGGUGGGCAAAGGGACCCUAAAAGAACCAAGGGGCGUGAGGAUCCACCCCCUGCGCAUCUCCACCCCUCCCAGGCCUCGGAAGGCAGGGGAGGGGCGGUAACACGCCCCGGCCAGACCUGUAAUCCGCCCAGCCGCAGCAGGUGGACCCUGUGACUCUCCCUUCAGAGCUCGAGGCCUGGAGAAGGCUGGUGAGCACGGGGUCCACGCAGCGAGCAGGGCCCCUGCCCUGAGAAACCCACAGUUUGGGGCAAACACAGACUUCUCCGUGAGCCACCGGGAUGGAAGCGGAGCUGAGUCACAUGACACGUGCCUAGCUCAACAUCACAGUCAGUCCCUUCUCUCUGGAGACGGCCUGCGUCACCUCCACUGCACAAGCCACCCCUGCACCCUGGUGCCCACCGCCCUCCUUGGGGGGCCCUCCAACGCCCCCAGCCUUCUCUGGCACCUGAAGCCCAUCUUGCCGGCCUGGGGAAAACAGACCGUGUUGGUUUGUUGGGCAGAGCUUCUGACUCUGCCUGUCUCGACUGUGGAUGCUCCUGGAGAGGCCGGGUCUGCCUUUGCUGGAUGAAGGAACAAUAGCGUGGGCUGUGGGCUCGCGGGCCCCUGGCUGCAGCCGGCUGACUAAUACUUCCUAAUCUCCGAGAGUCUGCACACAAUCAGUGUAAACAAGCCUCACAUUACCCAGCAGCCCAGGAAUGUCAGCCCCAGCGCCACGGAACGGGAGCUCAGCGUGGGUGUGCACACCGUCCCACCAAGGAGCGAAGGGGCUUAUUUCAUGACAAAAUCCCAGGAUCCUCCCUUGUCAACUCAGCAUGAUUUCGAAAGUCUGCGCACAUCACACAGGGGCCGCGUGCGGCCCGACUUUGAACAAACCAAGCCGUCAGAAGCGCGGAGUCCCUGUCCUUGGGAUGGAACCGCGUGCCCAGAACGGGCAUAAAGGACACGGGCUGUGUGUGUCGUGGGGCCGGCACCCCACGCAGCAGGGGCCACCGGGGCCCGCGCCCCUUUCCACCAGCCUGGACUUCUCUAAGGAGUAAAGCUUGCUUCCCAGCUGAGGGGAAGGGACACCUGCUCACUUUGGGAAAGGGAGUUCAGGCCUCCGUGUGCGAAAUGAGUUCACAUCUCUGAGCUCCCAGCCGAUGAGUCACUUGCAUGGCCCCGAUUGGCAGGGAGGGCUCUCAGCACUCUGAAGGACAUGGCCUUCUUUGGUCAGAGUUGUCAUGACACGGAAACUUCAUGAUUUCAUACCCAAACCGCACUCCACACCACAAGGCAACAAAGCCAGGCUAGGAGAACCAUGAGCAUGGUGACCGGCACGUCCUGAAGCCCUCGUGUCUGGUGGGGUCAACGAGUGCAGGCUGAUGCCCUCCGCCUGGCCUCCCUUCCCCGGCGGGACCCUGGCCAGCCUGGCACUGGGGUGCGGGCUCACCCCGGGCACACUGAGGACACGGGACGGCCGGUCCGCAAGCAGACCGUGCAAACACAGGUCACGGGUGUGAAGGUCUCCGUGCGUUAACCGGACGCCUCAGCUGUGUCCUGUUUUCCUUUCUGACGGUUUCGUCUUUGGAGCUACGUGGAUUCAACACCGACUGUGCUUUGAGAGGACACUGUCUGAAAUACUGUAUGGAAAUUGAUGGAAACAAAGACAUGGAUACACAUCUUAGCCAAGAUGUGGCUUUCCUCUGUGGCCCCCAAAUUUCAGACUUAAUGCCCACCCUAUAGGUCAAAAGUUCAAGCUUUUCUGCUGCUUUUCCUUGUCAUUGUCAUUAGAGAAACCAGAUCUCGGACUGACGGUUCGUGUCAUUUUAAUUUCUCAGUUCGGCUCUUGUGGGUUCCCACAGUGACUUAUUUAACAGUGUUUCUGCAACCAGAGCAUCAAGGGCAUCCCACUGGUGUUUGCAAAUGACACCGAUGUUGUGGCCAGACCCUGGAGUCUUCAGUGAGCUCGGGGAGCUUCCCCGGACAGGUGUUCUGGCCACCUGGUUUGCGUUGAACCAUGUCCCCCGAGAAGACAUGUGGACGUCCUACCCCCAGCCCCUGGGGAUGUGACCUUAUUUGGGAAUAGAACUGCUGCAGACGUGGCUGAAGUCGGAGGAGAGCAGGUGGGGCCCUGUGUUCUCACAGGAACAGGGGAGUGAUGGGGACACGGUCACAGAGAAGGGCCCUGUGGUGACGGAGCAGAGGUGGGCACGGGACACCCUACACCGGAGGGCCCCAGGGACUGCGUGCAACCCCACGAGCCGGAAGGGGCAGGGAGGGCCCACGUCAGGAGCUUUCAGCAGGAGCGCGACCCUGCCCACACCUCGCUCUUGAACUUCUGUCCUCCGGAACUGGCAGAGAAGACUUUCUGUUGCUUGGGGUACUUUGUCACGGCAGCUGCGGGGACGGUCCAGGUCUGGGAACACUCUGCGCCCUGGUAGUGUGUUGGGCAGAGCUGGUCCUCAGGCUUCUGGGGGGCAGCUGGCCCCACUGAGAGGUGCCCCAGCAGCUCUCCUUCCUGCUCCUUUCCCCCCUGCUGAUUUUAACGUGUCCUUUCCCGGUGACAAACCGUAACUGUGAUGUGACCGUUUUCUAGGUGUCGAGGCCUAGUGAAUGCCCGAACCUAGGAGCAGUGGAAGGGUCUGGGACAAGCCUGCAGGAGUCCUGCCCCUCGCUCUCUCCGGCCCAGAGCAAGUGCACACACGGAGACUCCAGCGUGGCCGGGCUCACAGAAGGUCCCUCGCAGCCCGUCAUCUAGGCCUCAGCACGCGGGCCGCACCUGUCACAGCCCCUCAGGCCGGGAGUGCAUGCACGGCCCUUCCUCUGGGAAGGGGAUUGAUUCCAGGAUUCUCAGAACAUGGAGCUGGGCGUGGACUCGGGCUGGCACAUUCCUUCAUCUGUGGCCCUUUCUCCCUGGAAGUGCACCUAGGCAGGGCAGGAGUCUUGGGGACCCAGGCCCGAGCAAGGCUGAUGGGGGGGCAUAACUGUUUGGAAAAGGGUCCACGGGCACAGAGCACGUGGGCACUCGAGAGCCUGACUUCUCAUGGCUCGCAGGGGCAAGCCAACCAGUACUCACUGUCGCCCCACCCUCGGGUCUGGGCAUGUCAGAGCUCAGCCAGAGUCUAGCCCGUUCUUGUUAUAAAGCUCAAUCUUGAUUCACGCCGCUUCUAGAUCCUUUUAAUUAUCAGGCAUUCCUUCAAAAUCACUAGCCGAUUUUGAGCUUCAUAAGCUGCAGGAGUGAUAAAUUUCAGCUCUUGACCCCACUCCACAGGAUGACCCUGUACAUAUUGAGGAUGGGCAUUCUACUUCAUCAUGUUGUAUCUUGUGCCCUGAAGGAUAGGCUGAAGUCCCAUCUCUGGGAGCUGUGUGUGUGACCUCCCAGGGAAGCAGGAUUUUUGCAGACGGUCCAGGUGAGAUGAGAUCGCUGGGGUGGCCCCGACAGGUGAUGACUGUCAUCCUAAUGAGAAGAGGCAACACACUGCGUGAAGAUGGACUUGGAGGGCAGAGGGGCAGAGAUGCCCAGGACCACCAGGAGCUCCCAGAAGCUGGAAGAGGCAGGAACGACCUUCCCCGGGGGGCGUAGAUCUGGAUCUCAGACUUCCAACCUCCUGAAUUGGGAAAGAACACAUCCUGUGGUUUUAACCUCUCCAGUCUGUGGCACUUUGUUCCGACAGCCUCGGAAAGUUAGUAUCCCAGCAAUCGUAACUCUGUGCUCUGUAGGAAUCCUUAUUUUAGGGACGCACGGUUACACAAGGCUUCCCAGGUCUUAUGUUGGCCUUCGGCUCAGAGACCAGGGCUGGAUCACGUGCUUGUGCUCCAAACGAGGCGGCUCUGGCCCGAGUGGAAUGCACCGUACCCCUCCCUUCCCGGUCACCUGAGGAAGGUUCCAGAAGGAAUGACAAGUGUGGGAAGCACCAUGAGCUGUGGAUGGGGAGCACCUGAGGGAGGGCAGCCAUGGAGAGGGCCCCAGAGGGCCUGAAAGUGGAAGCGAGGUCAGUGUGUGCGAAGAGAUCUGAGCUAGGUCUGAGUGUGACCGGCCUGUCUGAGCGCAUCUCACCGGGCUCUCAGAGCAGCCAGAGGGUCGUUGCUCCCGGCCACCAUCGGCGGCAGAUGAGCAGGACCAGGGAGUCUCCGUAAGUAGUGGUCUCCUAGGCUCACCGUCGGAGUGGCUACUCACCCUGAAGACUUCAGGGUUCCAGGACGUAGCCUGUCCCCAGAAUAGGGGAGAAAAAUGACCCUCCCUCUGCCCUUCCAUGUUCUAGGCUGGACCCCCUGUACCAGGAGAAAAACGAGGGACAGAAGUCACACGUAUACCUUACCUGCACACAGGGGACACCCCAGGAAUUCUCCACCGAGAAGAAGCUCCCGCGAUUUACAAUCGUCCUUCCCUGCCAGCUCAGAGAGGGAGGCCCCCUGACAAACCAGCGUCAAGUCCCCCACAAAAGGGAACUGUAGCCUUUGUCUUUAGAGCUUCUCCUCUGCCUGCCUCUCUCAAAAUAUUCAGAGCAAAAGAAUCCUUGUGCUAAAGAGACCUCUUUGGGAGGGCACAUUCUGGUCUCCCACACCACCCAGAAUGAAGGCACGGAAUAAACCGCAUCCCAGGACGGGUUCAUGAAACAUAGCUGGGGUCCUGGCCGCCGGUCUCUUAAACUGGGAUUUUCUGUUGUGCCAAACCAAGUUGUAAAUGAACCCAGGCCUGUGGUCUCAGUGCUCCGUGUUUGUCCUCCAAGGCUAUGCUGCUCGUCACCAUGGCCACGGCAAGCGAGGAAUUCAGCACACUCUCCCACUGGUCCCGUGAAAAAGAAAACCACAGGCCUCCACAUGGUGUUACUUAAGCCAAGUCACCAAACUGGGCCUUCAUACCUGACCUGACUGCCGUUCCAACCUCCCCCGAAAAUGAAUAUAAAAAUGUGACCACACUUUGCAUCUGAGAAGCCCAAAGCAUUUCAGAGUAUUUGGGAAUUAAAGAUCCUUCUGUUGCUGAUCUAGCAACUUCUUCAGUGCCUUUGGUGCUCCCUCGAUCGGGAACACACUUCUAUCUAAUGGAAGAAAAUUUUCGACUGGCCUGUGACUUACCCCAAAUCUCUUCUCACGCCCCAACUCAAACCAAAAAUCAGUUACGAAAUUGUGUAUCGGAGCACUAUGGCUCACAGGGAGUUGGUGUGCUGUCCACAGACCAAUAAAAAGGGCGCAUUCCUUAUGGUGGCACAGAGCCUGUGCAU